rnacentral:lncRNA from 1 species
GUGUAUAUAUGUAUUUUUUGUGUGUUUGAGAGAGAGAAAAGAAGGAAAAAUUUGUAUGUAUUUGUUUAUUCUUGAGAGAGGAGAGAAAGAAGAACAUAAUGUGUGUAUGAUUAAAAAAUGUGCUUAUGUAUUUGUGUAUUUGGGGAGAAAAAAUGAAAAAUGAGGAAAGAUUUUUUCUUGUAUUUUUUGUGUAUGUAUUUGAGAGAGAGAAAAAAAUAUGUGUGGGAGUAUGAAAAUGUGUGUGUAGAGAGAAA